rnacentral:rRNA from 1 species
UCUGGCGACCAUAGCGGGGUGGCACCACACCUUCCCAUUCCGAACAGGACCGUGAAACGCCCCAGCGCCAAUGAUAGUAGGCUCUCCGCCCGCGAAAGUAGGUCAUCGCCAGAC